CACGUAGUUAGCCGGGGCUUCUUAGUCAGGUACCGUCUGUUUUCUUCCCUGCUGAUAGAAGUUUACAUACCGAGAUACUUCUUCCUUCACGCGGCGUCGCUGCAUCAGGGUUUCCCCCAUUGUGCCAAUAUUCCCCACUGCUGCCUCCCGCAGGAGUCUGGGCCGUGUCUCAGUCCCAGUGUGGCCGGUUGCCCUCUCAGGCCGGCUACUGAUCGUCGGUUUGGUGGGCCGUUACCCCGCCAACUGCCUAAUCAGACGCGGGCCCAUCCCAUACCGCGAAAGCUUUCCAUCCAGGGGCAUGCGCCCCCGCAUGUGCAUGCGGUAUUAGCAGCCGUUUCCGGCUGUUAUCCCCCUGUAUGGGGCAGGUUACCCACGCGUUACUCACCCGUCCGCCACUCAGUCACGCGGCCUUCCACCCCGGAGGGCUUCCGUCCCCGUGCUUCGUUCGACUUGCAUGCGUUAAGCACGCCGCCAGCGUUCAUCCUGAGCCAGGAUCAAACUCU
rnacentral:rRNA from 1 species